ACGUAAUAAGUUAAUUAUAAAACAUACAAGAUUUGGGUUAUGCACAGAUCCACGAUUUUGAGCUAAAAUUUAGGCAUCCGAUUUUGGGUUGAACUCUGGGCAGUUACUCAUUUAAUUCCAUCAUUUCAAAAUAUUUCUCUUUCUACAGAAAUAUUCUUAGUGUGAUUUUCUCUCAAUUUCAAACCACAGUUUUCUCCACUUCAAAUCACGAUUUCAUCAAAGAGAAUACACAAUUUUGCCUUCUUCAAUCACUCUUUCACCAUUCUUACUGUUCAUCGUUAUUUUUGUGUAUUAACAGUGUUAUCGAUCCUAUACUGUUAGAGUUUAUGUGUAUUUCGUGUUCAUUUGUUUUUGCGAAAUAAUGAGUAAAAAGUUUCAAUGAUUUUCCUCCCCGUAAAAGUCCUAGAAUUGUGAGUUCAACGAGUCCUAAGAUAUGGCCAGAACCAAACACGAAACAUUAAAGAAGACGAUGAAGAAGAAAGUCAAGCCGAAAGGAAAGAAAUAAAUAGGCUCAGCUAGUGUUAUUACACUAACGUGGAUGUUAUCGAUGAAAUUAAGGCGCGUCUUAAGUUCAUGGAUUUCACUGUUUGAUUAUUUCUUGAUUGAAGGUUCAGACAUAGCUCAUCCGCAACUUGAAUGGGACGAUAUUUUCAUGGUUAAGUUGAAUGGGAAAAAGCUUUAUUUUGGUAUUAGAGAAUUUGUCAUUGUGACACAGUUUGAAAGGCGGCAUAGACAACGAUUUCGUCGCAAACUCCGAGGCAUGGCAUCGAUGAAUUUCCACUUUUUUGAUCAAGCCAAAGUACCAAAAAAGCGGUUGGUUAGGGUCUUUCAAGAUAAAUCUUUGAUUGAGGAUGUCGCGACCCAACCGAAAAGUGCAAAAAUAGUUAUUAGAGUAACUAGCUGGUUUGUGUUUGAUGUAAAAAGAUGGUUUGUUGGUGACUUCUUAUGUUUUCUUUGGACCCAUCUUAGUUUUUUGCUUGUUUUGUUAUGCAAAUAUUGUAAUUCAUUUUGCUAUGAAUAUAUCUAAAUAUAAUAUUAUGUUCUUACCA